rnacentral:sRNA from 1 species
UUAAGUACUCUUUUGGUUCUUUGAUGGUUUUAUCCUAAAAAGUGAGAAUGCUUUACGGAUAUAAUCAUAUAUAUGAAAGUUGGCCAACUCUCUCCAUUUGGGUGACACAUCAUCACACAAGAAAAUGACAUGUGUCAUUUUACAUUAAUUAUAAA